CACCUCUGAGGAGAAAAUUACACGCUGGUUUGAGAAUGAGGGAUUUUGGGAAUUUUAUUCAAUCGUCCACCAUGCAAAGUUAUCUCGUCUCUGUCUUCCAUACUAAAUGGCCGCCCCCUUGUUUCUUUCACCUCAGUCAUCAUUUCACUCCUGAGAAAAACGCGUGUAUCGAAGAGCCGUGUUCAACAUGGCGGUCCAUGACGUGCUGAACGGGCACUUCCGCCUCUUUCCAGAACUACUGAAAGACCCACGACGGUUUCGGGCCUGCCAGGCACUGGGGAACCAGAGAUGAAUAGUAUUCCCUCAAAAUAUUCCUCAUAAUCUAACAGGACGGGCCAGGAGAAAGAAGGGCCCGCGACGCAACGUGAGAGAAGAGCAGGGAACGCGCGGCACCGGGCCGCAGUCGGGCCUUCCGAGGUGAAAGGGAGCCUGUCCUGCGGCCGCGCGAGCCAGGCAGGGAGACGCGGCCUCGUGGGUGCGUCAGGCCUGAGCCGCCUGGAGCGCCCCGUCCCUCGCUCUGCCUCGAGCCCGUCGCGGCCGCAGAGCAGCCGAUCCCGACACUGCACUUCCGGGCCCGCCGGCUCCCGUGCACGAGGGCUGUGAAACGCUGACCCUCGGGUCCCGACCGCGGCGGAAGGCUGUGGGGAGUCUGUCUCCGGAAGCGUUCAAAACGGAGUCACAGGUGCCCUUUACUGGACUGGCAUCCCAACAAGAGGCCACCUGGCCUACCUCGUCUCCAGUUCUAGUGGUGAGGAUGGGCCGUGCGGCAGGCCUCGAUGUCUGGCUCAUGUCUGAUGAUGUUGACCAGAAGCUUCUCCAUCCUACUGAAUUAAAUGUCUGAGACCGUCAUGUGGUCAAGCUUUCAGCUAAUACACAACAAAGAACUGCAGGCCACGCACUGACACUGUGUAAUGAAAGGCUGAUGGAAACGCAUUCUGGGAACUGCAGGAAGUCGAGGACAUGAAGGAAAAAGACAUUAAAGACUUUCUGUGUCAGAGAUAGUAGAAAAUGAUUGAUUACCUUUUAGAGGUAGGAUUCUUGCAUAACGGCUUUCUGGACAAUUCAUAUUCUUCUGGGUAAAAUACUCUGCUUUGGACUUUUUAAUUGUGGGGAUCAGAUUAUUUUGUAAGAGCAGUAAAGAAUAUUAAAUUGUAACCAGGAGGGAGAAACAUCUUAACACAACAAAUAGAUCUGAAAUUUGAUCUUUUAGCGUGUGAUUUCCCCUAUCUGGUCCUUAUCUGUGUAUUCAUAUUCUUUGUAUAUAAAUACAAUUAUGUUUAUAUUCCACAUUUUCAUUGAAAUAUGUGUUUUUAUAUAGUUCCUUUGAUGGGU